rnacentral:rRNA from 1 species
UUUUUACGGAGAGUUUGAUCCUGGCUCAGGACGAACGCUGGCGGCGUGCUUAACACAUGCAAGUCGAACGAUGAAGCCUA